CGGCAGGAGCUGCGCGCGCAUUCAGCCAGUCUCAUAGGAAAGCAUUUACAAUGCUUUCCUAUGGACUCUGGCGUCUUCUCACUGUGAUUUUCACAGUGAGAAGCACGCAAACGCCUCUAGCGGCUGUCAAUGAGACAGCCACUAUAGGCUUUAGAGGCUGGAUUAACCCUAAUAUAAACAUAGCAGUUUCUCUGAAACUGCUAUGUUUAUAGAAGAAAGG